rnacentral:misc_RNA from 1 species
CAACCCUUAAGCCUCGCUUGGUAUUGGGCGACGCGGUCCGCCGCGCGCCUCAAAUCGACCGGCUGGGUCUUCUGUCCCCUAAGCGUUGUGGAAACUAUUCGCUAAAGGGUGCUCGGGAGGCUACGCCGUAAAACAACCCCAUUUCUAA